GGUUGUAUGCCACUAUGUAAUUUUUAAAAAAAAAUACGUUUGAUGAUCAAUGCCCCACCUUCAAAUGAAAAGUGUCCCGGAAAUGAGUCUAAAAAUUAUGGCAUGUAGGGUCAUUGUAUUGACGGCAAAAACAACGGAAUUACACGAAAUUAUGAGAAUCGAGCACAUGUUACUGACGUAGUACACAUGUCACUGACGUAGUACACAGGUUUAUUGCGUAGUACACAGGUCUAUUGAGCGCGCAAUAUUCAAUAUUCAAAGACGGCAAAAACUUCGUCUCAUAUCAACAGUGAACUGAUGAUAUCAUCUCUACAACGAGGAAGGUGAAAUUGCUAAAGCAAAUUAUCAGAAGAAGACCUUCAAAGCUGCAAUCGGUGAAAUUCACUGUCCUGCUGACUGUGUCCAAUGUGAAAGUGCAUCGAAAAGGCAGGAACUGCUGGGGGUUGUGUGGUUGAGGCUAGAUCUGACAGAUGGGAGGAUGAGUGCAGAAGCCUGCGUAGAAAGAUUUGACGCAUGGAGGAGAGAAUUACUGCUUUAGGGAGUCAGAAUACAAAAGUGGAGGACCCCGAAUUAUAAGCUGUGGAACAUCAAAGUGAUACUCAAGAAGUCUUGGUUACAUAAUAAUUAGCAAAGACUAUCUUCACUGUGGAGGAACUUAGAACCCACUCUAGGACUGGAAAGAUGACCAAUAAGUGCAAGGAUUCCCCGAGACCACCACUUGAACCCUCGAAACUCGGCAAUCUUGAAAGACUAGUGAGGAAAAAUACCGGUGUAUCAAAAGAAGUAUUUAAUAAAAAACUAGAGAACUAACAAAAAGUCAUCAGAAGGAAAUAAAUCACAAAAUAAGUGAAACAUUGGAAACUGUUCUAAUUUCAAGUUCUUGGUUUUUGAAAAUCAGCAAGCUGUAUUGAAUAAACUAUUUCUUAGUUCUUGUUAAACAAAGAUGUGUAGUUUUUAAAUUUUAUAUGCAGUUUUACAUGUUUGUGGUUUACUUUUGAACAAUAUAACUUAGAGCUUAUGUUGUGUACAUAUUGUUUAGACUUGUCAGUCCGCAAAUUGAUUGGUAUCAAUUCUGUCUGCUCUGUUCUUGCAUUUUUCAUAAAUGUGAAAUAAUGUAAAUGUAGUUUAGGAACUGUUCAUGAACUGUAGUCCUUGAACUGUUCUUGCACUUUUCGUGAAGAUAAAAUGGCACAAUGAAUUUGCGCUGGAAAAAGUGCUAGAAAAGUUCAUGUAGAGGAAAAAAUUCAUGAACAGUUCAUAAUUUACUGUAAGUGAACAGUUCAUGAGCAUUUCAUUGCAUUUUGUAUAAGAACAGUUCAUGAAAUGUUCAUGUUUUAUUGAGUCAUGAACUGAUCAAGAGCAUGGGACAGUUCAAGAACUAAGUGUCCUCUGAACUUUUCAAGAAUUUGUGCCAUUUUGUCUUCAUGUACAUCCCAUGAACUAUUCAUGAAUCUAGGUCAUGAACUAGAAUGAAUACUUCAUGAAUUAUACAUGAACUGUAAGCAUUCAUUUCACAGGGGAAUGAUUUCUUUUUCGUUUUUGUUCAUAACAAUGUCAUUGGAUAAGAUUUUUGUACUUAACAUUUUUGCUCAUUACAAACGCAUAUAUGGCCUUUAAUCUCAAAGUUCAAAAGAUCCAGAGGCUUAUUGUGAGAUUUUUGACAGUUCAAUAUGUCUGUUGUUCGUCUUAACAAUUUCUAAUGUUAAAUACAUUAAAAAGUGUCCAAAACUUUAAGUCCACACAGUAAUCAAACUGGUUGCCUAAUGAAACUAAAAGGGCAAUGCUUUUGAGUUCAUGAAAAGUUAGGGGAUUUGGUGAUUUGUAAGAAAUCUAUGUACAUACAUAUGUGUCAAUGUAAUAGAAAUUCCAUGUACAUGUACAUUUAUUUUCAGAUGUGAACAGUUGUUAACAGUAUUAUAUUAGCUCAAAUAAAUGCAACAGUUUUUUGAAA